GGAGAAAUGGCAGCUAGAAGGAAAAUAGCCCCUAGCGCGUCUCGUUCGCAUCGAGAAGGUCAGGGGUUCGAUUCCCCUUAGCUCCACCA
rnacentral:tRNA from 2 species